AUUGAACGCUGGCGGCAGGCUUAACACAUGCAAGUCGAGCGAGCGGCGGACGGGUGAGUAAUAUCUGGGAAACUGCAUGAUGGAGGGGUAUAACUACUGGAAACGGUAGCUACUCACGCAUCCACUCCGAUGUGACCAGAUGGGUUUAGCUAGUCGGUGGGGUAAUGGCGCACCUAGGCGACGCUCCCUAGCUGGUCUGAGAGGCUUACCAGCCACACUGUAACUUAGACACGGUCCAGACUCCUACGGGAGGCAGCAGUGGGGAAUCUUGCACAAUGGGCGAAAGCCUGAUUCAGCCAUGCCGCGUGUGUGAAGAAGGCCUUCGGGGUGUAAAGCACUUUCAGCGAGGAGGCGUUACUCGCAGAAGAAGCACCGGCUAACUCCGUGCCAGCAGCCGCGGUAAUUC
rnacentral:rRNA from 1 species